CAAUGGUGCCCCUAAAACACAACAAAAAAGGCAAGAGUUGUAUUUCUCUGAAGUUCAGAGUGGUAACUGCCAGGUUCUAAAGGAAAUAAAACAUUCUUACGUUGCCAUGACUACCAGGAAUAGCUGGUGAAUUCUGGGUAGUGGACACGUGACAAGAGACGCUGGACCAGGGAAGUCAAACAACCCUUUGAAGCGGGUGAUAGAGGGACCACGGACAGGUAGUUGUUCAGGGCCCUUGUAAAUUUCAAAAAGCUCCACUCUAACUCAGUCAUUCAAAAGUAGGCUUAGGUAGAUAGACCUCAGCUCUGAUUGGUUAUGCCCUAUACAAAUGAAGAAUUGUACUCACAGCCAAUCAGGAGCGAGAUGUGGAUGUCCUAAAUUCAGUUCUCUAUUUGGUCCGGGGGGGUGGGACUUCCUCCUCUCAGGAGCCAAUAUAAACCCCAGACUCCACAGCCUAGUGUCAUCCUCCCAUGGAGCCCCUCCUACGUAGGAGGGGCUUGCUUUUUUACUCAUUAAGAGAGCUUUGCUUGCUGCGUACUCCUAGAUGCUGGCAUCAUUCUUCACAGCCUCCAAGACACAAUCCUGGGAAAAACAGCGUCUCAGCCGAGGAAGAGCAUGUGUCCUAAGAUGCACCUGCAGAGGACAUCGGGGUGAUGUGUGAAGUCUCCAGCAAGACAGCUCAGCCAGGUGAACAACGAGCGUGGGGAGCACACAGCUCUCUGGAACACCGUGUUUCCCACGUCACCCUGGCAUCGCCCCAGAGCUGCUGUGGGGCUGGCGGGAAGAGAAAGGUCUCAACACCCAGCACUCUGGAAUUUUUCUCUUUUUGCCUCCACCCCAAAGGCUGUAUGACACCUUUCUGGCUCCUGGUUACCUUAGAAGGAUCAGUGAGGGGAAAGAAUACAAGAAAGGCCACCAGGCCUUACAGCACCUGUGGAGCACCAACAGGGAACACACAGGACACAUUAUCUUUGCUUAUUCCUCAGACCCUGACAUCGUGACACCCUCACCUUUGUGUCUGACCGGAUGACCAUCGUCUUGCUCUCCGUGGAGACUAUAAAGGCAGAAGACGGUCAAGGGGGCACUUUCCUUGGCCCAACCCAAUUCAGUCACUUCCCCCUGCAACCACCAGGUGGCAGGCACGCGGCCCUCUGGCAGGGUCCCCACCUCACUUCUGUGAGAGACGCGGGUUCCUCACAAGCAUGUCUUCUAAGAGCUUCCAUUCUCCAAGUAUUUAAUGGUUGGAUCCUCUUAAAUUACACAAAUCCCGUUUCCAAGCCUCUGUAUGUCUGGUUGGCCUAAAUUAGACCCACUGUAGGGUAAGAUUUCAUUGGGGGACACGUGAUGUUUCCCUAGGAACCAUUUCACAAGCAUUUCUUGCAGUUGCAUGGAGUAUAUGUGGGCCUUGGUCCAAGGCUGGCCCUGAAGGUCUGAAUGGGCCCUAGAUGCCCCAUCCCACUCCUUUCAAAGCUGUGGGAAGGAAGCCAGGACUUUAACUAAAUGGAAAAGGGAGUGAAUUCUUCCUGGUUCCCAGUGCUUGAGAGCUAAGGACAUUAUGCAGAUAAUGGUCAGCAGAGAAAGGAUAUUUACUGAAGAAUGCUAUUAAAAUUUCACAAACUCUUGCCCACCAAUCAGAAUACAAAGCCCUUAGGGCAAAGGGUCCGUCUCACUUUCUCCGGAACACCCAGGCCACUUGGUCCCACAGGAAAUGAUUUUGAAACACAUUAUUUUAAACUGCCGAUAGACUUCUGUCACAGGGAGGGGAAAAUUUCAAACACUAUGUUCUCAAAGACUUAAGUAAAUAUUCUCUGAGGAGGACAUCCCAUGUUAGCUCUUUCUCUCAAUGUGAUCCUCAGUGGGUGGCUCUGAAGUGAACCUGAGUGUGUCUAAUUCUUAACCUAUUAACGUCUUAUUU